GAUGAACGCUGGCGGCGUGCCUAAUACAUGCAAGUCGAGCGAACAGACGAGGAGCUUGCUCCUCUGACGUUAGCGGCGGACGGGUGAGUAACACGUGGAUAACCUACCUAUAAGACUGGGAUAACUUCGGGAAACCGGAGCUAAUACCGGAUAAUAUAUUGAACCGCAUGGUUCAAUAGUGAAAGACGGUUUUGCUGUCACUUAUAGAUGGAUCCGCGCCGCAUUAGCUAGUUGGUAAGGUAACGGCUUACCAAGGCGACGAUGCGUAGCCGACCUGAGAGGGUGAUCGGCCACACUGGAACUGAGACACGGUCCAGACUCCUACGGGAGGCAGCAGUAGGGAAUCUUCCGCAAAGGGCGAAAGCCUGACGGAGCAACGCCGCGUGAGAGAUGAAGGUCUUCGGAUCGUAAAACUCUGUUAUUAGGGAAGAACAAAUGUGUAAGUAACUAUGCACGUCUUGACGGUACCUAAUCAGAAAGCCACGGCUAACUACGUG
rnacentral:rRNA from 1 species